GAACACCUGGAGUAAUAAGUGUUAGGUUGUUUUCAAGCUGUUAUUCUACAACUUUAGGGCACUAAUCAGGAAAGGAGGGUGGUUAAGUAAUUUUGUUGAUAGAAUUUCAGUCUUUUUCUCUCUAAUUCUCUCCAUCUCUCUCUUUGUUUCUUCUACGGAUUUUCUAUUAUUUUCGUUACAAGGUAUCAAAGCCACUAUUUCCUCAAGGCCAACGAAGGCGUCACCACCAGACUUCAGAAGGAAAUGGGACAGAUGCAACAAGAGCUACCUCAAUUGCAGUUGGAGGUUUCUCAUAUUGACACCAGGAUUGACUCGCGUUUGAAGGACUUCCAUGACAAUAUCAAAGGUGAGAUUCUUUCAGAACUUCAUUCACUCUUUGAACAGUAUUUUGGCCUGUCACCAUCGGCUAGUGCUGUGGGAGCUAGGGUAGACAAGGGAAAAGGCAUUUUGGGAGGCCAUCCCUCAGGGGCAUCUAAGGAGCAUCUAGCUAUAUCUCUUUUGACAGUUAUCAAAUAUAUAAAUACAUCUCCUCGAGUAGUUCGAACUAAGCCAGCAAACAAACUUUUGGGGUUGGAUUGUCCACGUUUUAAUGGGGUAGACUUUAGGGGUUGAUGGGUUAAGCUUGAGCAAUUUUUUGAAGUUGAAUGUAUGGGAGAGCUAACUAAGGUAAGAAUGGUGAUGCUUCACUUAGAAGGGAAGGCUUCGGAUUGGCACCACUUCUUUGUGUAGAGAUAAGGGGGUUUGCAUCAACUAACCUGUGAGACUUAUGCUCGAGGAUUACAAGAAUGAUUUAAAUCUGACACCUUCAUAGAUCCCAUGUCUGAGUUGGUUACCUUCAAACAAUACGGCUCCGUAGAUCUUUUCCAUGAUCGCUUUGUAAGCUUACUGACUUAGCUGCAGCUGCUAGAGAUCUAUGCCCUGAGUAUUUUUAUCAGCAAUCUGAAACGCGAGGUUUUUAAUAUUUAAGGUUAUUUAAACCUCAAAACUUGGUAGAGGGGUACUUACUGGUUAGACAAGUGAAAGGCAUAUUGACGGGACCGUAAAAAAAGGGUGUUGCUAUAGGUAGUAGCAUAGGAAAAUUUAAACCAUUGCUGCCUAGUGCCAAUGUGCAUCAGUAUUCAAGUGGGGAAGCAGGAUCUGGAGGAUUGUCUACUCAUCUUGUGAGUCAAAGAGCCUUGUCAAAUCGCUAUCACAAGUUGAAAUAGAUGAGACAAGGAAAAAAUGACUUUGUUUCUAGUGUGCUUCCAAAUACACACCAAGCCACAAAUGUGCCAAGUCACAGUUAUUCCAACUGGUAAUCGAGGCUCUAUAAGAUAGUGAAGAUGAUACUAAGAGUCCAACUGCUGAAGAGUUCCAGCAUUGCAAGGAGCAGUUGGAACCAAGUGAUCAAGACACUGAACCUACUUCGCCGAUUCUAUCCUUACAUGCUCUCUAAGGGUCUCAAGGGAACAACACGAUGAGAUUCUUAGCUCACAUUGGCCAAGUUUAGGUGAUUUUUUUGGUGGGCUUUGGAAGCACACACAACUUUUUGAACUCUAGGGUGGCUAGGAGGUUGAAUAUUCCAAUAGAACAAUCUACUCCACUGACUGUUAUGGUAGCUAAUGGGGUUGGACUCUUUACACAAGGACUUUGUCGAGAUGUCCAAUAGGAAGUACAAGACUCUAGCAUCAGCACUGAUUUUUUGAUACUUCUAGUGAAGGGAAGCGACAUUGUGUUAGGUAUCCAGUGGCUUCUGUUCCUAGGUUCCACCAUUUGGAAUUUUGCUUUGUUAAGGAUGCAAUUUGAUUAUGGUGGCCAGACUCAUGUUCUUCGAGGAAUUGUUCCUAGAAGCUUACAACUGAUGUCAAGGGGUUAAUUGUCCAAGUUUUUUAGUUUGGCAGGUUUGGGUCCUUGCCCUAUGUUGCUUGCUUCCUGCCUGCCAGCAAAUGUCUUUAUCCUUACCUCAUUGAUAGCUAACGCCAAACUUGCAAGCACUCAUUAUUGAAUUUGAUGAUGUGUUUCAAUCACCCUCAGACCUACCUCCUAUUAGACGACACGAUCAUCGAAUUCCCUUGGUUGAUGAGAACCAAGUGGUGAAGGUCAAGCCCUAUAGGUAUCCAGCAAUCCAGAAAACUGAGAUGGAAAAGCUUUUCCAAGAAAUGCUAUAGGCUGGAGUGAUUAGGGAUAGAGGUGAGCAAAAUUCGAUUCGAUUCGAAAAAAUUAAAAAAAAAUUUGAAUUUCAAAUUAUUCGAGUCGAGUUCGAGUCGAGUUGAAUUUUUAAAUUCAAAUAAUUUGAAUAAUUCAAAUAAACCGAAUAUAAACUAUAUUUUUAAUUUUUUUUUUAAAUUUUAGGCUUUUACUUAAUUACUUUAACCCAAUUUUCCUAAGCCUAAACAUUUUAUUUUAUCCCAUUUUCCUAAGCCCAUCAGCCCAAAGAUUUAUUUUCUCAAAUCCCAAUUCCUCCCCCAAAUCAAACCCUCAUGCCCCAGCAGGCAGCAAAUUUCAUCAUCCAAAGCCUAAAUUAUUUUUCUUUCUCUGUUCUCUCCAUUUUCAUUCAAUUCAAACUUUAAAAUCUAUUUUUCACAAAAAAAACCUUAAAAUAAACCCUUCUUCCUUCUUCCUUCUUCUUAUUCUUAAUUAUUAGUUCAUUCAAACCUUCAAAUCAAAAUCCUUACCUCCAAAUCUAGUUGCUGUUCCUUCUGACCGAGGCCCUCUGUUCUCUUCCAUUUUAAGCUCGAUUUUUUUUUCAUCUUUAAGGUUUGUCUUGAAACAGUUUUGAAUUAUUGAAUGAUUUUCGCUCUAUUUAUAUCUGUUGAGCUCUAUUGAAUGAUUUUUGCUCCAUUUUCCUUCUCCACUUACCUGGUUGCUUUUGUAGUAUACUGGUAUGGGGCACAACAGAGUCAUUAUCUGGUUAAGUUUUUAAAAUGAAAGAAUUUAACUUAUUUGUUGCUGGAAUUAUUUGGUAAAGUCAUUUUUGGCUUGAGAAUAAUUAAAAAUGAUACCUCCCCACUCCCCACAGAUGAAACCUUUAAUUACACGGUUAAAAUAAUUGAUUUUUUUUACUAAUAAUUAAAAAUAAUUAAAAAAGUUUUUUUUUUUGUUUUGGAAGAUGUAAAAUUCUUUUAUUAUUAUUAAUAACUAAGCAGUAAGCAGUUAAGCACGACCUAAUAUAAUAUUAGUAAUAAUGUAAUAUUAAAAUUUAAUAGAGAAAAAAUGUUAGCCAAUUAAUUUCCCAAAGUACUAAUGUUAUAUUAGAAAUAAUAUUAGUAAUAAUGUAAUAUUAAUAGUAAUAAAAGAUUUUGCUAACAUUAAAUGAUGAAUAAAAUAUUGAUUACCAUAUUUAAAUUAUAAAUAAAAUAUUAAUUAACUUUAUAAAUAAAAUAACACUCAACUAGAAUUUUUAAAAUACCAUGUUAACUAACUUUUAAAGUUUAAACUAUAGUUUAAUAGACACCCAAAUCUUUUAAUGAUAAAUCUUUUUGGCAGGAUAGAUCUCAAGAAAACUAGGCUUCAAUUUUCCUUUCAUGUAGCAUAAAUUCAUUUAAGGUUAAUUACAAGUCACAAGUUAAAUUUUAAUUCAGUUCUUAAUUUUUAAAAGAUUUCAAUUGAAUCCUUAAAUUAAAUUAUUGGUUCAAUCAAGUCAUUUCAUCGUAUAGUUAUUAGUUUUGUUUAAUUUAUUUAAACUUUUCUAAAAGUAACAAGACCCAUUUCUAACUGAAAUUUCUAUCUUAUUCUUUUUUUUUGUUUAAUUUAUGCUAUUGUACUAUUAUAUUAAUUAAUUUUUAAUUUAACCGAUGUAUUAAGUUUGAUUUUAAAUCAAUUAUUGGUCAUGGUCAGUGAUUGCAACAAAUGUUUACUUGUAGAUGAGUGAUCCAAAGUGAGAUGGUUCAACUCAAAGUUCACAAAAUUCUUCCCCAAGUAGAGAUGAUCAAAAAACAACUAAGGAAAAUGUUCGAAAAAAGAUUACUCCAAUGGCAGCUUGUUGGAACCAUUUUACCAAAUUUGUGACUAAAGAGGAGGAGAAGAGAGCAAGGUGCAAUGCAUGUGAUCUUACUUACGCCAUGAAAUCAACUUUGGGUUCUACAACAAAUUCGAAUAACCAUUUGAAAACAUGCCUAAAAAGACCUUGAGGUAAUACUUCUGAUCCGAAGUAAUCAGAAUUAGCAUUUGUGAAAGCUAGCCAAGAAACAACGGAUUUAUCAACUUGGGUGUUUGAUAAAAAUGCUGUUAGAAAAGUAUUGGUUCAUAUGAUAAUUGUGGAUGAACUACCUUUUAAAAUUAUAGAGGGAGAGGGUUUCAAAUACUUUUUUUCUAUAGCAUACCCACGGUUUAGUCUUCCAUCUCGUUAGACAAUUAGAAGGGAUUAUCUUGAUUUAUUUAACUCCAUGAAGAGUGUGAUGAAGAAUUGUUUUGAAAAAGAUAUAAGUAGAGUUUGUUUGACGACAAACACUUAGACUUCAUUGCAGAGGAUAUCUUACAUGGUUUUAACAGCACAUUGGGUGGAUGGUGAGUAGAGGUUGCAAAAAAAUGAUUAUAAAUUUUUGCCCAAUAUACACUCAUAGAGGUGAAAGCAUAGGUCAAGCCAUUGAAAAAUGUCUUCGAGAUUAGGGAAUUGAGAGGGUUUUCACUAUUACGGUUGAUAAUGCAUCCGCUAAUAGUAUUGCCAUUGAAUAUUUGAGAAAGAAAUUGAAUUAUCGAAAUACUUUUGUUGCAAAAAUGGAAAACUUAUUCAUAUGAGAUGUGUUGCACACAUUCUUAAUCUAAUUGUGCAAUACGGUAUUAAGGAUGCUUUUGUGUUUGUGAAUCGAGUUAGAGGUGCUGUGAGGUAUAUAAGAGCAUCACCAUCGAGGUUGACAAAAUUCAACCAGCAGGUCAAAGAAGAAAUGUAAGGCUCAAUUGUGUUUAGAUGUGCCUACUAAAUGGAACUCAGCAUAUAUGAUAUUAAAAGUGGUCGAAAAGUAUGAGCGUGCAUUUGAAUCAUAUGUACGUGAUGACUAUAAUUUUUUUCUUGACCUUAAUGUUGGAGAUGAAGUUCCUAUAUUUGAUGAUUAGGAAAUUGUUCGAAGAGUUAUAAAAGUAUUAGAGCCUUUUUAUCAUCUUACAUUAAAGGUGUCCGGAUCUUUGCAUGUUACCUCUUAUUCACUUUUUGAAUUAUUGACGGAUGUGUAUUGUCUUUUUGAUGGGUGGCAAAAUUGUGGAGAUUUAGACAUAAUUUCUCUAAUUUCCAAAAUGAGAGAUAAAUAUAAUAAGUAUUGGGGUGAAGGAAACAAGAUCAACAUGCUAGUUUACUUGGCUGUCAUCUUUGAUUCGCGAUGUAAAAUGAUUGGACUUUGGGGUCAAUUUGCUUUUUCCUAAUAUUGCUAAUGACAUUAUGAAAAUGAUUGAUAAAGAAUUACAUUGCUUGUUCAAUGAGUAUUCUUCUAAUGUCGGAAGAAUUCAAUUGUUUGAAGGCAGAUCUAGUUCUUCGACAAAUCUUUGCAGUUCAAUGGAAAAUGAACAGUUCUAGAUUCCCUAUUCUUGCAUAAAUGACUUCGAAUAUUCUUACUAUUCCUAUUUCAACAGUUGCCUCGGAAAGUGCAUUUAGCACGGGUGGACAUGUUUUCAAUAGUUUUAGAAGUUCUCUAACUCUUUUCAUGGUCGAGACUUUGUUUUGCACACAAGAUUGGCUUCGAAAGCUAAUGAUGCCAUCAAUCUUGAAGAUUAUGUUGAUGAACUUCAAACCAUGGAAGAUGGUAAUAUAUAAAUUUUAAUUUAUAAAAUAAACUUUUGUGUUAUUUAUAUUAGUAAGCAUUCUCAUAAUUUAACAAAUACUUCUGUUAUUAAAUUUGCUAGACUUAUCCAAAAUACCCUAAGAUCAAGAAGGUAAUAUACUUAGCAUUAGUUUAUAAAGUUAACUGUUUAUUUAAUUUAUUUUUGCAAAUAUUUUUUAUCAUUUAACUAACUCAUUCAAUACUUCUACUAGAUGUUUCAAGAUUAUCAACGGUGUUUGAAGCACAAGAAGAAACUUAAACUAUUCUAUAAUGGUUUUUGAAGUGAUGUGUUAUUGUUAUUAGUUUGGUUUGAUUUGUUAUUGUUGUUGGUUAAUUGGACUUUUUUUUUUUGGAUUGGUAUAGAUUUCUAUUGUAUUUGGACUUUUGCUUAUGUUUUUUUUUAAUUAUAAUGUUGUUGUUUUCUUUGACUCAUGUUGUUUACUUGGACUUUUACUUAUGUUUUUUAUUAUAAUCUUGUUGUAUUAUUUUUGUUGUUUAUUUGGACUCAUGAUGAAACUUAAACUAUUCUAUAAUGGUUUUUGAAGUAAUAUGUUAUUGUUAUUAGUUUGGUUUGGUUUGUUAUUGUUGUCGGUUAAUUGGACUUCUG
rnacentral:lncRNA from 1 species